rnacentral:rRNA from 1 species
UGGGGAAUAUUGGGCAAUGGGCGCAAGCCUGACCCAGCAACGCCGCGUGAAGGAAGAAGGCUUUCGGGUUGUAAACUUCUUUUAAGAGGGAAGAGCAGAAGACGGUACCUCUUGAAUAAGCCACGGCUAACUACGUGCCAGCAGCCGCGGUAAUACGUAGGUGGCAAGCGUUGUCCGGAUUUACUGGGUGUAAAGGGCGUGCAGCCGGGAAGACAAGUCAGAUGUGAAAUCCCGCGGCUUAACCGCGGAACUGCAUUUGAAACUGUAUUUCUUGAGUACCGGAGAGGUCAUCGGAAUUCCUUGUGUAGCGGUGAAAUGCGUAGAUAUAAGGAAGAACACCAGUGGCGAAGGCGGAUGACUGGACGGCAACUGACGGUGAGGCGCGAAAGCGUGGGGAAGCAAACAGGAUUAGAUACCC